AUACGGAGGGUGCAAGCGUUAAUCGGAAUUACUGGGCGUAAAGCGCGCGUAGGUGGAUAUUUAAGUCAGAUGUGAAAGCCCAGGGCUCAACCUUGGAACUGCAUUUGAAACUGGGUAUCUUGAGUACAGUAGAGGAAGGUGGAAUUUCAGGUGUAGCGGUGAAAUGCGUAGAUAUCUGAAGGAACAUCAGUGGCGAAGGCGACCUUCUGGACUGAUACUGACACUGAGGUGCGAAAGCGUGGGGAGCAAACAGGAUUAGAUACCCUAGUAGUCC
rnacentral:rRNA from 1 species